rnacentral:lncRNA from 10 species
GUCAGCUCUGAGCUCUUUUUGGUAUCAUUUGUGUAUUCCUGUCAAAAGUAGAUGCAGGGAACAGCAACAGUAUUAUAUUGGGUAAUUAUAGUGAAUGGAUGUGAUACUUUAUUUGCAAGGAAUCCUACUCAUCAUUGUCCAUAGUAAUUGACAGAGCAGUGCCAUUUACCAACAAGGGUUUACUGAGCAGCUAUUUGGCAAGCCUUGUGCUAAUUUGAAUCAACAUGCAUACCUCAAGUUGAAAUGCUCUGAAAAUUUUGUUUGUUGCAAUCUCGCCUUUCUCAUUAUGUCAAAUAGACAAAAGGUAAGAACCAUCUUAUACUUCCUGAACCAUCCAGACUAAGGGAGUUGGGUUGUUGGUGACAGGGAGGCUUCAGGGUGGGUGUCAGGCCAUUCUCUUUAGUGUGUCCUCUAUGAGUCAUGCCCAGCGUCCCAUUUAUGCCUUUGGUUCAGCUAUUCAUACAUUAAAAGGGUUUUUUUUUUUUUUUUUUUGCCUGGUCAAACCCAGCUACUCAUUGUCACUUAAAACCUGCCUUCUCCAAGAAGCUUCUGAGGCUAAUCUCAAUGGGCACAGUGUUUCCCUUGUCUCUGACCCAGUUGUACUUUGUGCUAUUUACUGAGCAUCUGAUGGGUGCCAGGCAGUGUGUGCUAAACACCCAUCUCUAUUGCAUUGCCUUACCUCUGUUAGAAGCACUAGGAUAUUAGUCACAUUUUUCAGAAAAGGAUAUUUAGAAUGUGAAUUCAUUUGUCUGAGAUCUCAGAGCUAUUAUGAAGUGGUGUCAAGGUUGAAAACCAGAUCAGCCUGGAUUUGGACUUCUUUACUCUCUUGACACAUUCUUUGUUGGCCCUCCUGAUAUACCCACUAACCACAUGGCACCCCAAGUUUGUCUUGGGCCUGACCCACAACAGCUUUGCACACAUGGGAGAGUCACUACUCAUGUUUCUUUGUCUGUCCUACAGCUCUGAGAUUGGUGUUGUCCAGUCUCUUUUUUAGUAGACAGUUGUGGAGCUGAGUGGAAGUGGUAUGUCUGGUUGCCACUGAGCUGGGUGUGUGGACUUGAGGAAUGGGAAGAGAAUGAUUGCAAGUCCACCCAGGCACAUGCCGCCCCUCUCCCACCAGCAUCAUCAAUGUUUUGUCUCUAAGCACCCAUUGAAAAGAAGCUUUGAGAACCAAAGCACUGGCUUCUGAAUAUAGAAAAAAUAAAUACCUGCCCCUUAAUAGAAAGCAAAUUCUCGCUGUCUGUGUUUGUGUACAAUAAGGAGGGUGGGGUGGCAAAAGGGGUAACCAUUUCUUUGAGUAAGAAAUAAGACAUAAGAGCUUACUGGAAAAAUUCUCUUUUUUCCCCUAGAAUUAAUUUAAUCAUCUAAAGAAAAUUUUACUUAUUGGGGACCAAUUAUUCUAAUGAUUCAAUAAUGUCUCUCUCUCUCUCUUUCUCUCUCUUGUUCUCUCAAUGAAAAAAGACAACCCUGUUAUGAAAAGGAAAUUAGCUGCAGAUAGUAGAAGCCUGGAACAGGUCCUUUGAGCCAUGAGUUUUCUAGCAGAUACUUAUGAUUUGAUCCUAUGCAAAUGCAAAGCUUCAGUGGACAGGCUGCUCUAAGAUCACUACUGUCUCAGCCAUUACAAAAAUGGUGAAGAACAAUACUUUAGAGAGAUGCAUCUGACGUUAAGUUACUUCCAAUUUUUUUUUUAAUCUGGGGAGAGUUCGGUUUCCAGACGUGAGAUGCAAGAUUAUAAAGACACAAGAGUUUCAUUUCCAGCACUAUUUAUAUAAAUUUAAGGAUCCAAUGCAAAAGUAAAUUAGAAAAUGCCUCCUUAGAGUUUGUUUGAUUAUAUUAACAGGGAAACAAAUACCUCAAACCUGCUAGGUUUUCGCUUGUUUCUGUAUUUGCCACAGAAAUGAAUACUAGACCAAUUGUGCCUUAGCAGCUUGAAAAAUGCACUGGGACUUCAUUUUACAUUCAAGACAAAUAAUGUCUCUUUUGUUUUGCAUUUAAAAUAGGAAUGUUGCAUCAAUAACCCUGGUCUAACCUCACCCAGCACCUGCAAAGGGAGACAGAGAAGCCAGCAUAAUUGAGUAUGUGACUUUACCUCGAAACAAGGGACAAGGGCAAAUGUAGUUUUAUCCUUGCAAGAGGUUUUUGGAAGGAGAGAGUUCUUUUUUCUUUAAGGAUGACUGCAUUCCUCAGUUGAAUUCUGUAGCUUCAUGACUAAGGCCAACAAUUUAAAGAGUGGACCUGAAGCCAUGGUGACAGCAGAGAGGCUGUCAGUCAUCACAAAGCACCCUGACUGUGUAAGGCUGAGGAUGUUACACCUGCAUGGCAUUGGGUCACAUGUCAUCUUCUAUGCCCUUGUGCCAGCUCUGUGUUGUAAGAAGAAAAAUGGCUUGAUGUCCCCUUCCAGCAAAUGUGGAACUUGAGACCCAGAGAGCUCUGCUUUUAUCUUUUCAGCUCCAUUCUCAAGCAGGCUGUGAUGGUUAAUAGUGUCAACUUGAUUGGAUUAAAGGAUGCAAAGCAUUGUUCCUGGGUGUGUCUGUGAGGGUGUUGCCAAGGAAGAUCGACAUUUUAGUCAGUGGACUGGAAGAGGCAGACUCACUCUCAAUCUGGCACCAUCUAAUCAGCUGCCAGUGAGGCUAGAAUAAAGCAGGCAGAAGAACAUGGAAGGACUAGACUUUCUGAGUCUUCGAGCCUUCAUCUUUCUCCUAUGCUGGAUACUUCCUGCCCUCGAAUAUAGAACACCAAGUUCUUCAGCUUUUGGACUCUUGGAUUUACACCAGUGGUUUGCCAGGGGGCUUUUGGGCCUUUAGCCAUGGGCUGAAGGCUGCACUUUCAGCUUCCCUAUUUUUGAGGUUUUGGGACUCGAGCUGGCUUCCUUGCUCCUCAGCUUGCAGACAGCCUAUUGUGGGACUUCAUCUUGUGAUCGUGUGAGUCAACACACCUGAAUAACCUCCCCUUCAUAUACACAUCUAUCCUACUAAUUCUGUCCCUCUAGAGAACCCUCACUAAUACACAGGCUCUACUUAUGCAGUGGCCAAGACAUGUAUCUGACAGCCUUGGGCUUGUGUUCUACCAGCUUGACACCUGUUUGCAAAGAGGAGGGUCUCUUUUUCCAAUAAUUCAAGCAAAAGUCCCAGGAUUGAAUCUUAACUGGUCAGGUGUCUCGUCUGAGCCAAUCACUGUCACCCAGAUAAUGGAAUAUGAUAUCUGACUGGAGAUGUGUGAUGUUUAACCCUCUGGGGCAGAUUUUAGGAUCAUCUGCCCCUAUACAACAUUACCACAUGUACUGAGUGGAGGUGGUGUGUGUGUGCCUGUACGUGCAUGUGUGUGUGUAUGUGUGUAAGAGAGAUUCAUUUAAGGCUAGAAAUUUCUUUAAAAAACCCAAAGUUACAAUAAAUGGAAAGUCUCCAAAGUAAACUAAACUUAUUGAUUAGAUAAAACAACUAGAAGAUAGAAAACCAGUGUCUAAUAAGAUUCUUUCCUCGCAGGCUGACUUCUAUCCUGACAGAAUCAGAACUCAUGCUGGCUCUUGCCUUUCUUCUUCCUCCUUUUAAAUGGCUCUCUUCCUGGUUCUUUGAUCUCUGCUUCUCUCAGUCUUUCUCCCUCCUUCUCUUCAGGCUCCUGGGUAGGGACAGGAGAGAGACUGCUAAGGCAGGUGCCUGGCUACACCUGGUGCCCUGCAGAGCUCCUCCCUCUCCACAGGGGCGUGUAGGACUUCCAUGGAAAUCUCUGGUAUCAGUACCAGGAACUGUUUUCUGACUCUCACUCACCCUGCGCCUAAUUCCCAGCCACUCUUUUCUGUUCUUUCUGUUUCUAUCUGAGUAUCUGAUCCUAACUUUAAAAAUCCUUUCUUUAUUCCCCACUUUCUCCCAGGUACUAUCUGAAUGCUCUGUUCCUAUUGCACAAGGUUUUUCAAAUCAGUUAUUCAUAACCACAUCACCACUUUCUCACCUUUAUUCUCUCUUCAUCCCAGUGAUGUUCAAAAUUCCAUCCACACUACUUGACUGAAACUACUUUUGUCAGUCACCAAUAUGUACAUGUUUCCAAAGCCAGCGGCCACCUCUUUAUUCUCAUCUAACCCAGCCACUCAGCCCCACUUGGUGUAAUUGAUCCCCCCGUCCUCCUUAAAACACUUGACUCUCUGCCUGUCCACCAACCUCACUUGCUGCUAUUCCUUAAUUUCCUUGCUUGGUACUUUCUCCUCUUCAUGACACUUAAGGAUUAGAAGGCUCCAGGGGCUAGUCUUUGGCCAUCUCCUUACCUAAGAGCAUCUCCCUGGAUGCCCUUAUUACUAAAUAUUUGGUAAUAUUGCCUAUGACUCCCAAAUAUCUACCUCAAACCUAGACUUCUCCCAUGAAUUCAAGUUUGUAUUUCUAAAUGCUUUAUUUACAUUUUCACAUGGAUGUCUAACAGCCAUUCCCUGAACUUACAUCUGAGUCUUCUCAUGUUAAUAAAUGGCACUGGCCAGGUACGGUGGCUCACGCCUGUAAUACCAGCACUUUGGGAGGCUGAGGUGGGUGGAUCACGAAGUCAAGAGAUCGAGACCAUCCUGGCCAACAUGGUGAAACCCCGUCUCUAUUAAAAAUACAAAAAUUAGCUGGGUGUGGUGGCACAUGCCUGUAGUCCCAGUUACUCGAGAGGCUGAGGCAGGAGAAUCACUUGAACCUGGGAGGCAGAGGUUUCAGUGUGCCAAGAUUGCACCACCGUACUCCAGGCUGGCAACAGAGCAAGACUCCAUCUCAAAAAUAAAUAAAUAAAUAAAAAUAAAAAAUAAAAAUAAGUGGCACUAAUAUUCACCCAGUUAUUCCAGCUUAAACAAUCUGGAUAUUAUUUGAGAUUCCUUUUUUUUCCCCUAUCUUCUUCUUGCUAACCCCAUGUACCAGCAUGCUGUAAAAAAUACCUAAAACGUGGAAGUAACUUUGGAAUUGGGUAAUACAUACAGUCUGGAAGAGUUUUGAGGAGGUACAUAAUAGAAAAAGCCUAAAUUGCCUUGAAGAGCCUGUUGCUAGAAAUGUGAAUGUUAAAGUUGCUUCUGGUGAGGUCUCAGAUGGUAAUAAAGAACAUGAUAUUGAAAACUGGAGAAAAAGUGAACCUUGUUAAACUGGCAGAAAACUUGGAUGAACUGCACACUAUUUGUGAAAAGUAGAACUUGUGAGUGAUGAACUUCAAUAUUUAACUGAGGAAACUGUCAAGAAAAGUGUUGAAGGCCAGGUGCGGUGGCUCAAACCUGUAAUCCCGGCACUUUGGGAGGCUGAGGCAGGCAGAGCACUAGGUCAGUAGUUGGAGACCAGCCUGCCCCACAUGGUGAAACCCUAUCUCUACUAAAAACACAAAAAAUUAGCUAGGCAUGGUGGUGCAGCCUGUAAUCCCAGCUACUUGGGAGGCUGAGGCAGGAGAAUUGCUUGAACCCAGGAGGCAGAAGUUGCAAUGAGCUGAGAUCACGCCACUGCACUCCAGCCUGGGCAACAGAGCAAGACUCCAUCUCAGGAAAAAAAAAAAAAGAGAGAGAGAAAAGUGUUGAAGGUAUGGCCUGGUUUCUCCUUUUUACUUAUAGUAAAAUGCAAGAGGAAAGGAAGAAAUUGAAGAAGAAAUCGUUUAGCAAAAUGGAACCAGAACUGGAAGAUUUGGAAAAUUCUCAGCCUACCCAUAUUGCAAAAAAUGAGAAGGUAUGUUAUGAAGAGAACACUCAAGGGUGUGGCUGAAUGACAAUUCACUAAAGGGAUUAGAUGUGUGACUUGAGGAUCUAAUCAACUUUCUUAGUAGAAAUGCUGCCAGCUUGAACUGAAGGGGACAGAGAUAGGAUGAAAUGAAGGAAGGCUGUUGGACUUCUAGGAUUCUAUGCAUGAACUAUGUCUUACUGAUUUUAAUCCUAUAUCCUCAAUCUGUCUACCUCUCCAUCUCCACCUUAUUAUUCUGGUCCAAGCUACCAUCGAUUCUUUGUGUUGCCACCAUCUCUUCAGUGGCCUCAUAAAUGUUCUUCAUAUUUACAUCUUGUCUCUCACCUACCCCAACAUGUAUUCUACAGAGCAGCCAGAAUAAGUUUUUUACAAAUGUAAAUCACAUCUUUUCACGCACCUGCCCAAAAUACUUUGACAUGUUCUCAUCAUGCAUGAUAUAAACCAUGAUCUUUAAGGCCGUACUUACGGGUUCCUCACUGCUUCUUGACAUAAUCUUCUCCCCAACUCUGAUCCAUCCACACCAGUUUUCAUUGCUGUUGUUGCUAUUCCUCAAAUAAUCCAGGCUUUCUUCUGCCUUAGGGCGUUUACGCUUUCUAUUUUCUCUGCCUAGAAAGUAUUUCCACCAGAAAUUUAUUUCUGUUUUUUUUUCUCCAAAUUAGGUAUCAGCUCAAAUAUUGCCUCCUUCAAGAGGUCUACCCAGACCACUAGGUGCUAUAGAUUUUAUUUUACAAAUGGGAACAGAACGAUCCAGGAAGGGUAACAAUUUGUCUGAGGCCCCAAAGCUAGAGAGUGUAGUGGGACGCAGGAUGAGAGGGCAUGGUUGUGACCUCCUAGCUCAGGGCUUUUGCUGCCUGAAUCCAUUGAGUACACAUACAAAUGCUAAUUCCACUCAUCCUGGGGAAGACAGUGGGAUUACCGAAGCCUCUUCUCUUGUCUGUCUGUCGCAUUAGGGAAGGCCCCCUGACUUGGAGCCAAGCCAGUGGGAUGCUCUUUGUAUUCCUCCUCCAUCCAUCUUGGUUUGAUUAUUAUGCGGUGAACGGCUGGCUCUUGAAAGAUUACAACUCAGCUUGGGCCAGUGAGAUGCAGAGUGCAGUGGGGCAUUCUGAGUGUCAGCCAGACUUCAAAAGCAGCCUCUGAAAUGGAGACAGCCAGAGCCAUUCUCACUUUGUCAUGAAGGCAGACACAGCCACAAACCGUGAAGAUGGCUUAGAUGCUGCACAACCUGCUGGUCUACCUGAAAAUUUCCCUUCUCCACAGGGCACUAGCUGGCUUCCUUGUGGUUCUAACAGCAAAGCAGGGGACAGUCACAACUCCCCUAGUCACUCUAGCUAGCCUGACACAUCACUACACCUGCACAGACAUGAGACCUCCCCUUCCUCCCCUCUCCCCUUCACCCACCUUCUGACUCCUACCUUCUCCUGCAGGAAGGCCACAUCCCAUUUCCUCCAGAAAGAUUCCCAGUGUGUUGGGCUUGAUUUGAAUUCUGACUUGAUCUUUCUUCUCAUCCUGUUUCCCAAUCCCAGUGGCUUUACUCUGUGCUUGGAGGGCUUCUCUACUCCCCAGUGCUACAGACUAUCAGAGAAUAGCAGGACUUAGACACCCACAGGGCCAGAAAAUAAACAGGCAAAACCACUGGGAUUUUGUUUGCUAGGAUAACAGUGCACAAGAGACCAGAAACCUUCACUGGAAGGAACAUCCCUGGCCUGGAUGAAGAGCUCAAAUUGAGGAUCCUACCUGCUUUGAUAUCCUAAAUACCAUUUCAGCUGGUCAGGAGCAGGAGAACUGCAGGGAGGUUUAUCCAUCACUUUUCUUUACUCUUUCAUUGAGUCACUGGUCUAGAACCACUUAGUCAGAAAUGAUGGAAUUGUUCAAUAUCAUGGAUUCAGAAGGCAGUGGCCACGGCAAUCAUUCUCUGGCCCAGUGGCUGGCUCAUUUAUGGCCUCAAUGAACUGAAGGACAAAGGACCCUGCCAAGCACUGGAGAGGCAAAGUUGGCUCCUCUGAUUGCUCUGGCCGGGGCUGGUUCUGCCUAACUGCCCAGGGUGGCCUCUGAGGGGCAUAACCCCAGCGCCAAGAACACUAAGCAUAUCCAAGACACUUGCGGCUAUGAAGGAAUUCACUCAUUCGUCCAUUCACCUAUUCAUUCACUCAUGACCCAUUUUUUUUUUCAUUCUUUAAGGGCUUGAUAUAGGUUAGGCACCAGGGAUGAGCAAAAAACAGACUUUAUGCUUUUAUGGGACAUACUGAGGAGUAGAAGAGACAGACAUUACUCAAAUAAUGACAUGAGUGGAUGUUUUAUUAGGAACUGGGGAAUCCCCAUUAAGGAGAGGACAGAGUCUUCUAAGUGCGCCUUAACAAAGGAAUCUGGCUAGGAAGAAGGAAGGAGUUGGAGGAGACCUGCCAUAGGCUGUGAGGCUUCUGCUGAUUGCUGAACAAGUACGAGGAGCUGAGUGAGGUAAAGGUGGGGAAAGUGUGUAAGAGGAGAAGGGUUACACAUGCGCAAAGUCUCUGAGAUAGGAAAGAACUUGGCACUUUCCAGGAGCUAAAGGAAGGCUGAUGGAGCUGAGAGAGAGAGUGAGAGUGAGAGAGAGAGAGAGAGAGAGAGAGAGAGAGAGAGAGAGGAUGAAAUAUAGGAGUUGGCUUUGCAGGGCCUUGUGGAUGGUGAUUUCCUGGGGCCUAGAGUCACACAUUUAGUGGGCAGACCAGAGGCUUCCCAUGUAACCACAGUCUCUAUCAUAGAACCUUAAUACCCACUAGUGGUCAUUCUUGGCUUACAACAUUAAACCCUAGCCCUGCUAAAGUGCAGAGAUUAUUGAUGCAUGAUUUCAAGGCAGAAAUACCUUAGCAUGCACCUUACCCACCUGGACCUGAAAGAAUGGAGAACAGCACAGAUUAUUUUGAGUGAGAUGGAUCUGGAUGGGGCACCUUGUUUCAUGUGUUUUGCUUCCUCAACAAGAAUAUAUGUUUAAGUCUGGAAUUUUCACAUCCUCUGCCAAAGGCCUAAGAGCAUGCUGGGCACACAGAAAAUACUUAGCUUCUACCCAGAUGGGUUGAGAGUCCUGCCCUGGUUCUCGCUGCUCCCCACCUAGACUUCAAGUAAUAAGCCCAGGCUGUGUGCAUGUGUGACAAGGGCCCAGAUGGGUCAGAGGGAUCCAGAAGACCUGGAUCUAGAAGGUCACCAACCCACUCAGCAUUUGUUAGCUGCCGCCAUGAACUUCUGGCUGUUGCCCUACUUUAACUAUCCACAGCAUGUAUAAGGGAUUUUUUGUGUGUGUUUGUGUCAGGGGGAAGUGUAAUUUCUCAGCCACAGCCAGUCUGUACAUCAUCUCAGCUGCUUUAGGGUUCCUGAUCAGAGUGUAGAUUAUAGUUAAUGGUGACAGCCUAGAAUGAAGUUAGGAGGUUAUGUGUAGAUUCGGAGGCAGCCUCGUGCUAUAUGUAAGCUUUUAGACAACUCCAUGUCCCUGAGCUUUCACUCCACUGAAAUAGAGGACUGGGCUCUCCCUCUCCCCCUCCCCCUCCCCCU